UGAGGAAUAUUGGUCAAUGGGCGAGAGCCUGAACCAGCCAAGUAGCGUGAAGGAUGACUGCCCUAUGGGUUGUAAACUUCUUUUAUAAAGGAAUAAAGUCGGGUAUGGAUACCCGUUUGCAUGUACUUUAUGAAUAAGGAUCGGCUAACUCGUGCC
rnacentral:rRNA from 1 species